CGGCCCUUCUUCCAGCUGAGAGCUCGAGCAGAGUAUGCGGGGAGCAACAGCAGCAGGAGGGCUGAUGGUCUUUAGGGGAAUGAAGACACAAAUCUGCACGAGGUGAUUUGGAGGCAUCUUGGAAGCUGGAGAAUGGAAGAGAUAACUUCUCGAAAUCAGUUCCAGUUCUAGGAUCCUGUAAAUCAACACAAUCUGCUGACUGGAAGAGAGCAGCCUCUGCCUUCUCCAUCUGCUUGCUUAAGCCCCCCAGAAGUCAGCAGCACUGGGUCAGAAGUCAGGGACUUGGGAUGCUUACAGCAUGCUCUGUGCCUCCCUCUGGGGAUUCGUUUGAAGCAAGUCUUCAUCCUCAAACAGGAGAUGACAAGAGGCUUUAUCAGUAAGUAUCCACCUUACCCAGAAAACCAGGAGUUGG